UAAGAAGGUGGAGUCUGAGGGUGGGGCUAGCGCUGCUAAGAAGGAUUCCAAGAGGAAGAGAGAGUCGUCAGUCAGCGACGAGGUGGAGGUGAAGUCUCCGCCCCCCUCACCUCCAGAAGAAGAGGACGACGAUGGCGUGCAGAAGCGUCGCUCCAGCCGUCAGGUGAAGAGGAAGAGGUACACUGAGGACCUGGAGUUCAGGAUCUCUGAUGACGAUGACAGCGGCGACGACUCACCAGCACCUAAGUCACCAUCAUCAUCACAACAGCAGGAUGUGGCUGAGGCUGAGGGGCCUGUUGUGGAGAAGAUCAUGGGCACCCGCAACACCAAGAAACAGG